UACGAAGGGUGCGAGCGUUAAUCGGAAUUACUGGGCGUAAAGCGUGCGCAGGCGGUUCGUUAUGUCCGAUGUGAAAGCCCCGAGCUUAACUUGGGAAUGGCAUUGGAAACUGGCGGGCUGGAGUGCGGCAGAGGGGGGUGGAAUUCCGCGUGUAGCAGUGAAAUGCGUAGAUAUGCGGAGGAACACCGAUGGCGAAGGCAAUCCCCUGGGCCUGCACUGACGCUCAUGCACGAAAGCGUGGGGAGCAAACAGG
rnacentral:rRNA from 1 species